rnacentral:rRNA from 1 species
UACGAAGGGGGCUAGCGUUGCUCGGAAUCACUGGGCGUAAAGGGUGCGUAGGCGGGUCUUUAAGUCAGGGGUGAAAUCUUGGAGCUCAACUCCAGAACUGCCUUUGAUACUGAAGAUCUUGAGUUCGGGAGAGGUGAGUGGAACUGCGAGUGUAGAGGUGAAAUUCGUAGAUAUUCGCAAGAACACCAGUGGCGAAGGCGGCUCACUGGCCCGAUACUGACGCUGAGGCACGAAAGCGUGGGGAGCAAACAGGG